rnacentral:rRNA from 1 species
ACUCCUACGGGAGGCAGCAGUGGGAAGUCUUAGACAAUGGGAACCGGUAGCAUCUAGCCAUGCCGCGUGAGCGAUGAAGGCCUUAGGGUUGUAAAGCUCUUUCAGCGGGAAGAUAAUGACGGUACCCGCAGAAGAAGCCCGCGUACAUCCGUGCCAGCAGCCGCGGUAAUACGGAGGGCGUAGCGUUGUUCGGAAUUACUGGGCGUAAAGCGCGCGUAGCGGAUUGGAAAGUCAGAGGUGAAAUCCC